rnacentral:rRNA from 1 species
UACGGAGGAUGCGAGCGUUAUCCGGAUUUAUUGGGUUUAAAGGGUGCGUAGGCGGAUUUUUAAGUCAGCGGUAAAAUGACCGGGCUCAACCCGGGCCGGCCGUUGAAACUGGGGAUCUUGAGUGGGCGAGAAGUAUGCGGAAUGCGUGGUGUAGCGGUGAAAUGCAUAGAUAUCACGCAGAACUCCGAUUGCGAAGGCAGCAUACCGGCGCCCGACUGACGCUGAGGCACGAAAGCGUGGGGAUCGAACAGG